GGUCACUGCUAUUGGGAUUCGACUAAGCCAUGCGAGUCGAGAGGGUUCGGCCCUCGGCUGACGGCUCAGUAACACGUGGAUAAUCUGACCUUAGGUGGAGGAUACUCUCGGGAAACUGAGAAUAAUACUCCAUAGGCCUAGGAUGCUGGAAUGCACUUAGGCUCAAAGCUCCGGCGCCUAAGGAUGAGUCUGCGGACUAUCAGGUUGUAGUCAGGGUAAUGACCUGACUAGCCUACGACGGAUACGGGUUGUGAGAGCAAUAACCCGGAGAUGAUAUCUGAGACACGAUAUCAGGCCCUACGGGGCGCAGCAGGCGCGAAAACUUCACAAUGUGUGAAAGCACGAUGAGGGAAUCCCAAGUGCUUGCAUGUAAGUGUAAGCUGUUUUUAUGUUUAAAACGCAUAGAGAGUAAGAGCUGGGUAAGACGGGUGCCAGCCGCCGCGGUAAUACCUGCAGCUCGAGUGGUGGCCACUAUUAUUGGGCCUAAAACGUCCGUAGCCGGUUUAAUAAAUGCCUGGGUAAAUCGUGUAGCUUAACUAUACGAAUUCCGGGUAGACUGCUAAACUUGAGACCGGGAGAAGCUAGAGGUACUCCUGGGGUAGAGGUGAAAUUCUGUAGUCCUAGGGGGACCACCAGUGGCGAAGGCGUCUAGCUAGAACGGGUCUGACGGUGAGGGACGAAGCCCUGGGGCGCAAACCGGAUUAGAUACCCGGGUAGUCCAGGGUGUAAACGAUGCGAGCUAGGUGUUGGGGCGGCUACGAGCCGCUUCAGUGCCGCAGCGAAGGCGUUAAGCUCGCCGCCUGGGGAGUACGGCCGCAAGGCUGAAACUUAAAGGAAUUGGCGGGGGAGCACCACAAGGCGUGAAGCUUGCGGUUC
rnacentral:rRNA from 1 species